rnacentral:rRNA from 1 species
UACGGGGGGGGCAAGCGUUGUUCGGAAUUACUGGGCGUAAAGGGCGCGUAGGCGGUUUUGUAAGUCAGACGUGAAAUCCCCAGGCUUAACUUGGGAACUGCGUCUGAUACUGCAAAACUUGAGUGCGGGAGAGGGAUGUGGAAUUCCAGGUGUAGCGGUGAAAUGCGUAGAGAUCUGGAGGAACACCGGUGGCGAAGGCGGCAUCCUGGACCGACACUGACGCUGAGGCGCGAAAGCUAGGGGAGCAAACGGG